GAGUGGUGUUUUGUUUGUUACGUGUGGUUGGCUGCGGCGUUUGCAACAACUUCCAUGCUUUCAGACCUCUUCAGUUGUGCGGCAAGGCUUGUAUUGCCUUGAGCGUGCUGUGGGUUUUCUGUGUUGGCUACCUAAUCAAUGGUAUCGGUUGGAUUGAUCAAAGUUUGAUUUCGUCUUCCGUCGCAUUCGCGGCGUGAGGUGAACCUCGAUGCGGUCUCUUUGAUCCACCUCGUUGAAGCACAUGCCUCGACGUUGUGGCACAUUGAGCAUUGCUUGGUCUCUUGCAUACGGAACAUAUAGUGGGCAUGGAUCUAACGAUCCUCGUUUGCCCUCAUAUUAGCGUAACGCUUCUCUAACACGACUUGCGCCACGUUUUAGCUCGUAC
rnacentral:misc_RNA from 1 species